rnacentral:lncRNA from 1 species
GUUCGAGCACCUUCUUUAUACUUUCAAUAAGGAGAGAGCAUAACCUUUUUUAAGUAAAUUGAAUUAUAAUUAAUAGCCUUCUCCAAGGCUUCGGUUCUUUUUUAAGGAACAACCAAUCCUAUUUAUCAAGCAAUGCGUGGUUGAAAUCUUUGAGGUUUUCGAUGCUAAGACCCCCUUGUUCUCUAGCCAUACAAAUGUUGUCC